rnacentral:rRNA from 1 species
GUCCACGCCCUAAACGAUGGAUACUAAGUAGGGACCCUGCAAGGGGUUCCUUGCCGGAGCAAAAGCGUUAAGUAUCCCGCCUGGGGAGUAUGGUCGCAAGGCUGAAACUCAAAAGAAUUGACUGGGGCUCACACAAGCGGUGGAGCAUGUUGCUUAAUUCGAUGCAACGCGAAGAACCUUACCCGGGCUCGAAGUGUACGGAUUAGCUCUAUGAAAGUAGAGUGACACCUUAACCGGUGGAACGUAUAAAGGUGUUGCAUUGCUGUCGU